GCGCGAGUGGCGGAACUGGCAGACGCGCAGGCUUCAGGUGCCUGUGCCCGCAAGGGUGUGAGGGUUCAAGUCCCUCCUCGCGCACCA
rnacentral:tRNA from 2 species